rnacentral:lncRNA from 1 species
AGUAAUCUGUUUGGACAGAGGUACGUUUGAAUUACUUGUUAAGAGUAAUAAGUCAUGUUUUUUUUAAGGACAGUCAGUUAUUCAUGUUGACCUUCAGAGCAGUAACAUUAUGUUUACCACCAAGAAAUUCUUCAAUCUUCUAGUUUCAUUACUGAUGACCGGUUCAUAAUCACAUAAGUCUAAUUAAUUAUGCAGGGUCAUGAGUAAUUUCAGUUCAAGUUCUCACGUGUCUUGUCAAUUUGUUAAACAACAUCGUCAGGUACCCUCGAACGUUGGAAACGUUAAUGCAAUCAAUUCAAUUCACCUUUCUUUAUGAGAUCUUACCAACUCAUUUCGGAUAAAAUUCCAAAACUAACCAGAGAUAUAUAAGUAGUAUCAUGGUCAGUAUUAAUGAUACGAACCCUUUAGUUCCAUUCUUAGUAACUAGGUUAGUCCAAUGUAAGUUUGCAAAUGUUAGCCGAGAACAAUAAGUAUUCUUUUGAACAUUAUCAACUAUCUUUGUGACCGAUUAAUCAACAAGCAACCCAGAGUUAGUCAACUCAAUUAGUAGUAGCAUCACCAUCAGUAAAUCGAGACAAUUAUGUUUUACUUUCCCUUAGCGACCGGUCUAUUUUAGACAACUUGUUAUCACAAAUUGCAUCAGAGAAUUCUAUCCAAAUCCAAAUCUUACCUUAAUUAAGUUAGGGGACUCAUCAUAAGAAGUAACCUCAAUGAACACCGAUGGAAUGAGAAAAUCGUAAGCGCUAUGUGACAAGGAGAUUUUUGGAUUAGUCAGUAAUGAUAUUCAAGUUUAUACCCUUAAGAUAACCUCAUAACAUCGGUCCAUGUUCCGUGUUUUAAUGUGCGCACAACCAGGCCAAAUAACGAUAUAAUGCAGUAAGUUGAGUAAUAGAGUUAUUGCUGGAAGCAAUAAUCUGAGUAAGUCAGAAAAGGAGACUGAUCGUGAUGAGGGACAUCAAAGUGAAAUGAUAAGUAAACAGGAACCAACUCGCGAAGAAUGUCGCUGGUCGAAGUAAGGGUAGUUGCUGGAUCAAUACAGGCAUCAUAAUUGAAUGCAACAAUGAGGAGACUUUGAGUAUGAAAUAAUUGUAAUAGAUAAGGAGUGAAGUGUUGCAGACAUGUUAGAUUGUCAUGAAGUAUUAUGUACACAGUGGUGCAUCGGACGUCACGAAGUGAUGCAAGUAUUACUUUGUAAUGUCUACGGUACGAGAAGUAAUGACAAUAUGAGUAACGCCAAAUAAGAUGAGACAAUGUGUGACAUUGCCCGGG